CGCUGGCGGCGUGCUUAACACAUGCAAGUCGAACGAUGAACCAGGGCUUGCCCUGGGAAUUAGUGGCGAACGGGUGAGUAACACGUGGGCAACCUGCCCCAGACACCGGGAUAACCAUCCGAAAGGAUGGCUAAUACCGGAUAUGACCACUUUGGGCAUCCAACGGUGGUGGAAAGGAUUCUGGUCUGGGAUGGGCCCGCGGCCUAUCAGCUAGUUGGUGGGGUAAUGGCCUACCAAGGGCGACGACGGGUAGCCGGCCUGAGAGGGCGACCGGCCACACUGGGACUGAGACACGGCCCAGACUCCUACGGGAGGCAGCAGUGGGGAAUAUUGCGCAAUGGGCGAAAGCCUGGCGCAGCGACGCCGCGUGAGGGACGAAGGUCUUCGGAUUGUAAACCUCUUUCAGCAGGGACGAAGCGAAAGUGACUGUACCUGCAGAAGAAGCACCGGCUAACUACGUG
rnacentral:rRNA from 1 species